rnacentral:rRNA from 1 species
GACGAACGCUGGCGGCGUGCUUAACACAUGCAAGUCGAACGAAGUGGCGAACGGGUGAGUAACGCGUAAUCAACCUGCCCUUCAGAGGGGGACAACAGUUGGAAACGACUGCUAAUACCGCAUACUGAAGGUGGGGAUUGCGUCUGAUUAGCUAGUUGGAGGGGUAACGGCCCACCAAGGCGAUGAGCAGUAGCCGGUUUGGUGGGUUGAACGGCCAAAUUUGGACUGGGAAACGGCCCAGACUCCUACGGGAGGCAGCAGUGGGGAAUCUGCCGAAAUGGACGAAAGUCUGACGGAGCAACGCCGCGUGAGUGAUGACGGCCUUCGGGUUGUAAAGCUCUGUUAAUCGGGACGCGGUACCGGAAUAGAAAGCCACGGCUAACUACGUGCCAGCCGCCGCGGUAAUAC